UUAGAGGGCAUAUCUUCGGAUGUGUAUCCUGGCUAUACGAAGAAAUUUUCUGGUUAUAUGUAAAGUAAAAGGUUUGAUGGAUGCUGUAUGUUGUAUGCUGUAUAAGGGUUAAUGCGUGCAUUGGCCUUUUUAUAGUAUGUUUCAUAUGGUUUACGAAAGCCUUUUUAUCAGUAUAAAAGACAAUCACCUAUAUGUCCCGUCUUGAAACACGGACCAAGGAGUUUAUCGUAUGUGCGAGUCAUUGAGUGAUUAAAACUCAUUGGCGUAAUGAAAGUAAAGUAUCCUUUGCGGAUAUGAUAUAUGAUUAUUCAUUUUUCGAAAUGGGUAAGCAGUAUAAUCCCAUCCAAU
rnacentral:rRNA from 1 species